rnacentral:rRNA from 1 species
AUUGAACGCUGGCGGCAGGCCUAACACAUGCAAGUCGAGCGAGCGGCGGACGGGUGAGUAAUGUAUGGGGAUCUGCCUGAUGGAGGGGGUUAACUACUGAAAACGGUGGCUAAUCCCCCUUACAAUCGGUUGACCCCAGAUGGGUUUAGCGGGUGGGUGGGGUAAGGGCUCACCAAGGCGACGAUCCCUAGCUGGUCUUAGAGGAUGACCAGCCACACUGGGACUGAGACACGGCCCAGACUCCUACGUGAGGCAGCAGUGGGGAAUAUUGCACAAUGGGCGCAAGCCUGAUGCAGCCAUGCCGCGUGUAUGAAGAAGGCCUUCGGGUUGUAAAGUACUUUCAGCGGGGAGGCGUUACCCGCAGAAGAAGCACCGGCUAACUCCGUGCCAACAGCCGCGGUAAUUC